CAGCAGUAGCCGCGGUAAAACGUAGGUGGCGAGCGUUGUCCGGAUUUAUUGGGCGUAAAGGGAGUGUAGGCGGUCUUUUAAGUCUGAUGUGAAAGCCCACGGCUCAACCGUGGAGGGUCAUUGGAAACUGGGAGACUUGAGUGCAGAAGAGGAGAGCGGAAUUCCAUGUGUAGCGGUGAAAUGCGUAGAUAUAUGGAGGAACACCAGUGGCGAAGGCGGCUCUCUGGUCUGUAACUGACGCUGAGGCUCGAAAGCGUGGGGAGCAAACAGGAUUAGAUACCCGUGUAGUCCCUGUCUCUUAUAC
rnacentral:rRNA from 1 species